GGGCUCAUAGCUCAACGGCAGAGCUGGCGGCUCAUAACCGCUUGGUUCCAGGUUCGAAUCCUGGUGGGCCCA
rnacentral:tRNA from 1 species